ACUCCUACGGGAGGCAGCAGUGAGGAAUCUUCCACAAUGGGCGAAAGCCUGAUGGAGCGACACCGCGUGAAGGAUGAAGCCUUUGUUGGUGUAAACUUCUUUUCUCUGGGAAGAUAAUGACGGUACCAGAGGAAUAAGGGGCGGCAAACUUCGUGCCAGCAGCCGCGGUAAU
rnacentral:rRNA from 1 species